UUUGAUUCUCGGCCUUUUGGCUAAGAUCAAGUGUAGCAUCUGUCCUUAUCAGUUUAAUAUCUGAUACAUCCUCUACCCAAGGACAAAGAAAAAAAAUUAUAUAGAUAGUUCUAUAUAAAGUCAAUUGAUUUUAACAAUUGUACAGUGUUUAUAUAAGAAAAUGUCCUUGUUUUUAGGAAAUACACACUGA